rnacentral:lncRNA from 1 species
UUAGCGUUUGUGGUGAAAGUGACUUAAUUUUUGGUUGUAGAAAGAGGCGGUGGGAGGAUUACUGCCAACCACUAACUCCCCCUACACCAAAAAUAUUUAUAAGUCUAUUCCAGUUCCUCAAACUUUGAUCCAGAUUCGGAAAAUGCAUCCUUAAAUUCCCAAAAAUUGUCAUCAAACCCAACAUCUGGAGUACUGGAUACUAACUUAUUUUUAAUUCAAUGUCUUUCAGCGUUUUGCUGCUGUAAUUAUGAGAAUAAGGGAGCCUAAACUACAGCUUUGAUUUUUGCAUCUGGGAAGAUGGUGAGCCCUCCCAAAAACUUUUUAGGAUUGUAUUUGCUGACAACAAUAUGAUUUCAUUUCAGCUGUUCAUAUUGUUGUAAUAUCAUUAUUGGAAGCGAUUUGCUUUUGAAUCUUUUUACUCCUAUUCAGUUCCUUCUUUUGUGGAAAGUGUCUUUCUCCUUUAAUUCUAUGCCUGUUAGUGAGAUAUGAUAAAACAGUUUAUCUUACUUGAAUCAUACCCCAACUGAUUGCGCUAUUAUCUAUUGAUGUGUUGCAUCAAAUAUAAAGAUGAUUAUGUGUUUGUCAGAAUGUGUUUGGAAUUGUACAUGAUGAGUGUGUCAAUUUUUGGGUGCAAUCAAGUAAUGAUAUUGCUUAUUUCAGAAAAUAUCCUUAACAGGAGAGCAUUUUUUGGUUGCUAAUUUUGACUAUUGCAUCUAAAUUAAGUGUGUGUUUGAUUGGUUAUGGUCCUUCUGGAUUGCAUGUCAUGUAAAAAAUGUACAGUAUGUCGAUGCUUAAAUUCCUAAAUUUUGACGCUUAAGAUAUAUAUUUGGUAAUGGACUGAUCUUUUUAUGAGCAUGUUUAUUUAAUAUUUACUAAACUUCUAUGGUAAUAAAUUUGGCUUUAAGUUACUCAUGUCACAACCCUGGUAACUAGUGCAUUAUAUUUUGUCGACCCUUUUCAACUUGAUAUACACCCUCUCUUUUCCCCACUCUCCCUUAUUUAUGAUUUUAAAUCUUGAGUUAUGCACCCAUCAUACCUUGGAUGCCUCUGGUUAAGAUAUUUAAAUUUUAACCAGAUUGGUAUUAACAUAGCAAAAGUGGCAGCGAGGAAGGUAUCUGUUGAAUGCUUACAGAUUGGUAUUAACAUAGCAAAAAAGAUAGUGAUAUAUGUGAGUUUUCGUAACUUUUGACCCGAUUUUAGGCAUUUUAAGUUUGAAGCAGAGUGACAGUGGGUAAGAAUCAACUAAAAAAAUAAAGGAGAAUCAGAAGUAUUAAACAAAAAAUAUUACAUGCCAAUGAGAAUAUAUAAAUACACACAAAAUAUUACCUUCCAAAACAUUCACCUCUCAGAAACACCUUGAAAUCCCCCACAAAGUUUUCCAAUUUCCACCAGAAUUGAGCUUCUUCCAGUGUUGAGAAGCCAUCCCAGAAAACGGAAAGUAGAAGAACAAACACUUGGUCUGCACAAACUAUUCAGAUUAACAAAACUCAAAAUUAGAUUCCUUCUGAGUAAACCACACAAACCAAAGAAACACCAAUAAAAUGAAGUAGCUUUUUUCAACAGAACAAAAAAACUCCAAAACCAAAAACUUGAAAAUCUAAUAAAAAUGAAGAACAAAGAUUACAAAUUAGAUAACCAAAAUUACUAAAAAUAAAAAAAAAUCAACAUGCAUCAAACACAAAACUAAUCUGUAAAAGCGAGGGAAUCCAUUUGUAAUAUGCUUUUUGGUUUUGAACCUGAAGAAUUUGAUAUUCUGACCAGCACACCGAGGAAAGGAAUUAAGCCUAACGAAAUUGAACCCAAGCCUCAGAAAAUUGACUUGAGGUGUUUUCUGCAGUUUGAUCGGUUCACACACAACCGGAAUCAGCGGUCCGGUGGAAACUGAGACAGAGACAAAAAUUGCGAGGAUACAGUUGAAAUAGGAACUGAAACACAAAGAGAACACGAAGCAGAUUUUGACAUAUAAUAGGUGU